AGGGACUGUCUGCAAAAGCAGAGGAAGGAAGGACCGUGCAGCUGUGUAGAGCUGGAAUUGAUCCCUAAGGCUGGACGUGAGGUGGGAAAGCCCCAGGGCACUAAGACAAAGGGGGAAGGUAUAGAUGUCAUAGACAUAUGUGGAGAUCAGAGGACAACUUCCAUGAGUCCUUAAAAAACAGGACGCAAGAUAGGAACCACCGCCAGCUGUCUUUAGAUGCAAGAUUCUGCCACGCACUC